GCAGCUCCUGCAGGCGGACAGGGGCGGGGCCUGAGCGCGGCGGGGCGGGGCGGCCCUGAGGCUCCGCCCGGCUAGCCGCCGGGAACAAAGGCGCCCGCGCACCCGUGGGGAGGACCCCCGCCCGCCGGCCCGCCGCGCCUGCGCUCCGGGACCCCCAGACAGGCCGCAGGCAGGGACGGGGGCACGAUGGCGACGGGAGCGCGCGCCGUUCCCGGUCGACCCACCCAGCCCUCAGUCCCGCAGGGCUUCCUCACGCGGCCCGGGACACAGCUCGGCGGCCACGACCGACCCCGUCACGCACGGCAGCCCCGCCCACAGGCCGCAGGCCCCGCGGUCGGCGCGUCAGUCAGGCGCACUCGCACGGGCGGCCGCCAGCCCGCGGUUCUGCACAGACGCAACCCCCGCGUCCCGAACACCGCCCAUGCAGCGACCGGGACGGGACGUGAGGGGGUGACGCACUCCCCGGGCAUGCCUGGCCAAACCCAGUUACCUGGGCGGGCUUCCUAGCGAAGGGAGACAGGCCGGGCCGCUCACACCCGCGGCGGCGGCGGCGGCGGCGGCGGGUCCUCCGCGCGCCCUCUCCUGGGAGGGGCGGGGGCGGGGCCGCCUGCGGAUUGGCCGCGGGCACUGAUGGACAGCCAGCCUGUCCCGCCCCCUCCCCCUGGUAGUGCGGGGCUGGCCCGCAGGCCGCUCUUGCGACGACCUGACCCCACGUCUGUCUGUUUCGUCUCUGCUGCCAGGGUGUCCUUCAAUGGUCCUCUCGUUCAGAGAGUUCCCCCCAAGCGUGAGCACCUCUUGUAGGGCCUUUAGGUCCGCGGCCGCGCUGUUAAGCGGCCUGACCUGCAGCUCCCAGGGCCUUGGUGUCUGUCCCUCGCAUGGGCCGCUGCUCGCCCCACUCACGCUCAGUCCCCACGAGCAGGACUUGGGUCCGAUCCGGGGCGCGGGCUCAGACCCUACCUCACAGCGUCCCUCCUGCAAAUGCUCUCCUGAACUUUUAUUUUCCCCGCCUUGCUUUCCCUUCCUGUGGCCGCUGCCCAUCGAUCUCAGAAGCUUCUGUUCCUCUGUACUCAGUGCUAGGUCAGAUCCCAAGGCUACCUGACCUUUCCCCUGACUUUACCCACCACAAAGGCACCGAUGACUUCAAACCUGUGGCUCCCCUACGUUCCACAUCCCCGCUUAGGCGACUGACCUUCCCUCCCUAAAGGUUCCUUCCAUAGUCUUCACUUUAUCAGAACGUGGCGCUAAACCCCUCUACGUUGCAAGGCCAAAAACCUUGCAGAUAACUUUGAUUCAUCUCUCUCCCUCACCUCCAAUCCAUCAUGACUUGUUCACUCAACCCACAAGCUGAAGGCCCUAUCUCCUGUCACCCAGACUAUUUAUUCUGUUUGGUCUUGCCUGGAUCUAUUCUCCAUGCUUUAAAAUUUUUAAAUGAAAUUAAAUCAUGGUCUGCUACAUCCAGCCUAAAACCCUCCAUGAAUUCCCAUUGCACCUAAAAUCCACACUCCCUGCUUGGCCCAGCAGGUUCUAUAGGAUCGGUUUCAUCUCUCACAGGUGACCCUUCACUCUCCAGUCUCCAGCCACAAGGCCUUUUUCUGGUUAUGGAAUAAUUCGUACUCUGUCUUUCUGAAGCCAUUCUUGAAACUCACCCCUCCCUGCAAUCUAUCUACUCCUGUCAGCACCACCAAAAUUGAGGACACCCACGGUCACGGUGGAGCCUGUCUGACACGUUGAGCCAGGCAGUGGGUCGGCUGCCAGACGCAGCAGGACAACUUACUGCAUUUCAGAGACGGAGUUUCUCUCUUGUUGCCCAGGCUGGAGUGCAACGGGGCGACCUUGACUCACUGCAACCUCUGCCUUCCGAGUUCAAGCGAUUCUCCUGCCUCAGCCUCCCGAAUCUUUUUAUCUGUCACAGAUUGGGUUCUUUGGACUCGGACUCUGUGACAGGAUAUGGACUUUGGAUCCCCUUCAACCGACAUCCACAGCAGCAGGACAGGCACACCCCUUUCCAGGCCAGGUCCUGCCUCAUCUGCUCCUGGGGGAAUCUACUCUUGCUGACCUGAGUGGUGAGACCUCAUCCCACACUAAGUCCCAGUCCCAACUCUGCCCUGAGGCCCUUCGUAACAAAGAGGCGGACACUUAAGUUUCCGUUAAGUUGUAGGAAUUUAUUUUAAAUAACCUACAGUUGAUUAAAAGGGAAUUCAUGAUAAAAAUAGAAGAUACUUGAGGAAAGAUGUGGGAAAUGGACUCUGCACACACACUAAACUAACAAUGCUUCUAAAACUAAUGAUUAUAGCAAAAAAUGUCUUCACAUUAAAAUUCUGCUUUUUGUUUUUUCCAUUUUUUACACAAUUACAAAAGAAAAAAUAAAAGCCCUAAAAUCUUGAUUAUUUUUCCUUUUUUUUGGACCAAAUACUCAUUUUCCUCUGAAUUUAUUGACCUGUGGAACUUUUUAUACAAUAAAAUCUUUCAAGUGAAAGAUUAGGGUUAAAAAGAAAAAGAUGGCUAUCUUAAAGGGUACAGCGAAUGCUCAGAACAAAGGAUGAUGGGAAAAUGGUUUCAGUCACUGA